rnacentral:pre_miRNA from 1 species
UUUUUAAUAUCAAUAUGUCCUGUGCAGUGUUUGGGAAGUAUUUAUACUGAAA